CCCUUAGAUGUUCUGGGCCGCACGCGCGCUACACUGACGAAUGCAACGAGCUUAUAACCUUGGCCGAAAGGUCUGGGUAAUCUCCAAAUUUCGUCGUGAUGGGGAUAGAUUAUUGCAAUUAUUAAUCUUCAACGAGGAAUGCCUAGUAAGCGCAAGUCAUCAGCUUGCGUUGAUUACGUCCCUGCCCUUUGUACACACCGCCCGUCGCUCCUACCGAUUGAGUGGUCCGGUGAGGCUUUGGGAUCUGAGCAAAGAGAGCGUUUCGCUCGUUUUGCCCGGAAAACUCAGUCGAACCUUAUCAUUUAGAGGAAGGAGAAGUCGUAACA
rnacentral:rRNA from 1 species